rnacentral:rRNA from 1 species
AUUGAACGCUGGCGGCGUGCUUAACACAUGCAAGUCGAGCGGCAGCGCGGGAGCAAUCCUGGCGGCGAGCGGCGAACGGGUGAGUAAUGCUUCGGAAUCUGCCCAGUAGUGGGGAAUAACCAGUCGAAAGACUGGCUAAUACCGCAUACGACCUAUGGGUGAAAGCAGGGGACCGCAAGGCCUUGCGCUAUUGGAUGAGCCGAAGUCGGAUUAGCUAGUUGGUGAGGUAACGGCUCGCCAAGGCGACGAUCCGUAGCUGGUCUGAGAGGACGACCAGCCACACUGGGACUGAGACACGGCCCAGACUCCUACGGGAGGCAGCAGUGGGGAAUAUUGGACAAUGGGGGCAACCCUGAUCCAGCGACGCCGCGUGUGUGAAGAAGGCCUGCGGGUUGUAAAGCACUUUUAGUGGGGAGGAAAACCCCCGACCUAACACGUCGGGAAUUGACUUAACCCAAAGAAAAAGCACCGGCUAACUCUGUGCCAGCAGCCGCGGUAAUACAGAGGGUGCAAGCGUUAAUCGGAAUUACUGGGCGUAAAGCGUGCGUAGACGGUUUAUUAAGUCGGAUGUGAAAUCCCCGGGCUCAACCUGGGAAUUGCAUUCGAGACUGAUCAGCUAGGGUACGGAAGAGGGAAGCGGAAUUUCCGGUGUAGCGGUGAAAUGCGUAGAUAUCGGAAGGAACAUCAGUGGCGAAAGCGGCUUCCUGGUCCAGUACCGACGUUCANGCACGAAAGCGUGGGGAGCAAACAGGAUUAGAUACCCUGGUAGUCCACGCCAUAAACGAUGAGGACUAGACGUUGGAGGGGUCAGCCUUUCAGUGUCGCAGCUAACGCGAUAAGUCCUCCGCCUGGGGAGUACGGNCGCAAGGUUGAAACUCAAGGAAUUGACGGGGACCCGCACAAGCGGUGGAGCAUGNNGGUUUAAUUCGAUG